CAAGACCUUGCGCUGAUUGAGCGGCCGAUAUCAGAUUAGCUAGUUGGUGAGGUAAAGGCUCACCAAGGCGACGAUCUGUAGCGGGUCUGAGAGGAUGAUCUGCCACACUGGAACUGAGACACGGUCCAGACUCCUACGGGAGGCAGCAGUGGGGAAUUUUGGACAAUGGGCGCAAGCCUGAUCCAGCCAUGCCGCGUGAGUGAACGAAGGCCUUCGGGUUGUAAAGCUCUUUCGGACCGGGAAGAAAUCGUAUGGGUUAAUACCCUGUGCGGAUGACGGUACCGGCAUAAGAAGCACCGGCUAACUACGUGCCAGCAGCCGCGGUAAUACGUAGGGUGCGAGCGUUAAUCGGAAUUACUGGGCGUAAAGCGUGCGCAGGCGGUUUUGUAAGACAGGCGUGAAAUCCCCGGGCUCAACCUGGGAACU
rnacentral:rRNA from 1 species